GACAGAGGAUGCAAGCGUUAUCCGGAUUCACUGGGUUUAAAGGGUGCGUAGGUGGGUUGGUAAGUCAGUGGUGAAAUCUCCGGGCUUAACUCGGAAACUGCCGUUGAUACUAUCAAUCUUGAAUAUCGCGUAGGUAAGCGGAAUAUGUCAUGUAGCGGUGAAAUGCUUAGAUAUGACAUAGAACACCAAUUGCGAAGGCAGCUUACUUCACGAUCAUUGACACUGAGGCACGAAAGCGUGGGGAGCAAACAGG
rnacentral:rRNA from 1 species